UGAUGGUGAUGCUGAGCAGCUGGCUUGGUACAAAUAGAGGUUUUACAGGCUACAACUCAAGCAGCUGGCUCCACGGAACUAUUAGUUAGGCUAAGGCAAUUCCCUAGUAAAAAGCAGAUAGAUCCACGCAUUAGAAAGACAAUACAUGCCGCUCAUACCCUAGCGAUAGCACUGAUAACACUUUGUGAUUUCUGAGAUAUGCUAAACAUACCAUUUAACUGCCAUGACAUCCUCUGUGAGAAAAGAAUCAACUUCAACAAAACACUCUAACAUCAACGUAAUUGUAAUGCAAAAUCCUUCCUCUUUGAAAACAAAAUUCUUAUUUUAAGGAGCUUUCAAUUCACUUUUCAUGGAAAUGCUGGAGGGAGAAGAGUCUGGAGAGAAACAUCAGC
rnacentral:lncRNA from 1 species